rnacentral:tRNA from 1 species
AGGGCUAUAGCUCAGUUGGUAGAGCAACUCGUUUACAAUCAGUUUGGGCUGUUUUACCGAGAAAGUCUACGGUUCGAGUCCGUAUAGCCCUA